rnacentral:rRNA from 1 species
GAUGAGGUAGAAGAAUCGAUCUGGAAAGGUCAGCCAUAGAAGGUAACAGCCCUGUACUCGAAACUUCAUCCUCUCCUGAGUGGAUCCUGAGUA